rnacentral:rRNA from 1 species
UACGUAGGGGGCGAGCGUUGUCCGGAUUCAUUGGGCGUAAAGCGCGCGUAGGCGGCUUCGCAAGUCGGCCGUGAAAUCUCCGGGCUCAACUCGGAGGGGUCGGGCGAGACUGCGAGGCUCGAGGUGGGCAGAGGGCAGUGGAAUUCCGGGUGUAGUGGUGGAAUGCGUAGAGAUCCGGAGGAACACCAGUGGCGAAGGCGGCUGCCUGGGCCUGGCCUGACGCUGAGGCGGCGAAAGCGUGGGGAGCAAUCCGG